GUGCUUAACACAUGCAAGUCGAGUGCGCGGUGCCGUAGCAAUACGGUACUGGCGCACGGCGCACGGGUGCGUAACACGUGGGUAAUCUGCCCUCCGAUGGGGAAUAACCCCGCGAAAGCGGGGCUAAUACCGCAUAACAUUCCUUGAACUCCGGUUCGGGGAUUCAAAGGCGUAAGUCGUCGGAGGUGGAGCCCGCGCCCGAUUAGCUAGUUGGUGAGGUAACGGCUCACCAAGGCUUUGAUCGGUAGCUGGUCUGAGAGGAUGGCCAGCCACACUGGAACUGAGACACGGUCCAG
rnacentral:rRNA from 1 species